rnacentral:SRP_RNA from 1 species
GGUCGGGCCCUGCGCGGCUUGCGUCCGUGAACCGAGUCAGGGCCGGAAGGCAGCAGCUAUCAGCGGAGCCGUAAGGGUGCCGCAGUAAGUCUGAUCAGC